GGCGGACGGGUGAGUAAUGCCUAGGAAUCUGCCUAGUAGUGGGGGAUAACUUGCCGAAAGGUAAGCUAAUACCGCAUACGUCCUACGGGAGAAAGCAGGGGACUCUUCGGAGCCUUGCGCUAUUAGAUGAGCCUAGGUCGGAUUAGUUAGUUGGUGAGGUAAUGGCUCACCAAGACUGCGAUCCGUAACUGGUCUGAGAGGAUGAUCAGUCACACUGGAACUGAGACACGGUCCAGACUCCUACGGGAGGCAGCAGUGGGGAAUAUUGGACAAUGGGGGCAACCCUGAUCCAGCCAUGCCGCGUGUGUGAAGAAGGUCUUCGGAUUGUAAAGCACUUUAAGUUGGGAGGAAGGGCAGUUAACUAAUAUUUGACUGUUUUGACGUUACCGACAGAAUAAGCACCGGCUAACUUCGUGCCAGCAGCCGCGGUAAUACGAAGGGUGCAAGCGUUAAUCGGAAUUACUGGGCGUAAAGCGCGCGUAGGUGGUUCGUUAAGUUAGGAGUGAAAGCCCCGGGCUCAAC
rnacentral:rRNA from 1 species